rnacentral:misc_RNA from 1 species
GUGCAAUAGUACGUAUUCUCGGCUGCAAAAUUCCAGGCAUAUUAACUACUUCAAAAAACAAACACACGGGAAAUAAAAUAUCACUAGUAAAAAUGUCAACAAUACCAUGGAUAUGUCAUAACAAGUCCAGCAGACAACCUAUGAUAAUGGAUCACCACAAUCAUCAUCUACAUCUAGUCAUCAUUCAAGUCAUACAAUGCGAAAUAGCUUAGAAAGCUGAACAUGUGUGUGGGUUGCUGUCUGUCGUCUUACCACAAUGACACAAUCCUAUUCUGCAAAUUCCCUUUUCCCAAAACAAAUUUUAUAGUACAUUUUCCUUAUCAUCUUAUAGUGUCGAGUGAAUUCUUCACUGUAUCUCCUGUAAUCCUCUGCAUAAAAUGCAUAGCCUCAAAAAAACCAAAUUGAAACCUCAUAACAACUACAUAUUGUUAGCAGUAACAACUUUACAAUGUUGUUCACCUUUAUUCAUUCACACUGAUAUGUUUGUAAUACACGCAUUAGUACUAAAUUAACAUGUUUCGUUCAUAAUACAUUCAGCAGAAAAUGCAAAUUCAGUAACAUUUACCUGUUUAACACUAUAAUCACCUUAUAAUCAAAUCAUUUGAGGUCAAAGUACAUGUUAGUUCUAAACCAACAUCCAAGGAGAGAAGAAUUAUGCGUCAGAACAUCCAAACAUCUAUGGGCAUACUGAUGUGAUUCAAAAAGAACCAGAGUUUUUUUGAGGAAGAAGAGUCAUCCCUCAACUUUCAUAUAAGCACAAGGAUUUUCUUUACUUCCCAUAUUAUUUUGCAGAUCAUGGAAAGUCGACGCAAAUCACCCAAAGAAAGACAACAAAAUUGCAGAAAAGGCAUACCAUAUGAAUACCAGCGAAAAUUAGACUACUUUAACCAAUACGAUAAAAGUGAAGACUUGAAAAGCAAGAAUAAUCUAUAUCAUGAUCCAUGCUAGGAAAAUACAGAAGUGGAACAU